GAACUAAUAGUAAGAUGGAGAAGAGAUAAUGCAACAAAAAUCUUAGAUGGGGCAGUGAAGUCCAUUGCGCAUUCUGAUUUUUUGUAGCUCCGGACAUCAGUUGUAUUGAGACAUGGAUGGCUCUACACCUGAAGUACAUAUAUCUGACAAGCAUGAUCACAUGUUCCCUUUAGAGUCUGAUGGUCGAUGGAGAGGCGAAGCGAAAGACGGUUAGGAAGCGCAAGAGAAGUGGCAAAGACAGUAGGUCCAUGUGUAUUUAACAGCAAGUCCAUGUAUUACUACAUGAGAAGUACUGCUAGUGAGACUUCACUGCCCCAUUUCAACAAACUUGUAUACGCAAUCCUAGUUUGACAAAGUACUCUACUGCCGCUGGUUUCAGUUCCCUCACUGGAUUUGCAGGCUCACGACCAUCCUCCAACACCCCGUCAGUGCCACUGAUUUGAAGGACCUCGGUGAGCGUGUACUUCUCCUGGUAUACAAUUUCAUUCCUCCCUGUAUUGCAGUCAUUUUGGUUAGUAAACUUGUAUCGACGAAGAAUAAUUGCACCAGGAAGUUCAUAUCUUAAAACUAGAUAAGUUUGAAAAACAAACCAUGACCAGUUGAAAAAGAACCACCCUCACCCUAUUUUGUAGCUCACCUCUAAUUCGUUUCUCUCUACUGCUCUUUUCUCUCACUAUUUUGUUUCUCCCUGUACUCCAGCACCAGAGAGGUUUGGACAGACGCUGAUCACUAGCUCUCUAUGACGCCACCGAUCACUAGAACGAAGAACACCAGCAGGAUGAGAAUGAAGUACAUGACAUAGACAAUGAGGACGACCAAAACAUGGAAUCCGUACACAUAGCACCAACUGCAAAUUCGAACUUUCUGUCUAUGAUGAUUUGAUUGCUACUUCUUAAAGAAAGUGUACAUAACAGUUAGAUGUUUGUGCUAGAAAGGAAAACUUGUUUGAAUUAAAAACAUUGACCAGUACGAAUCAAAAACAUUGAUCAGUUUGAUAGUGCUCUCUCCUACCUAUCUUGGUUGAUGCCACGAAUAGUGAAAAAAAUUGUAUGGGAAUGUUUAAUUAUUACUAGCAUGUAAGUUCAAAAAAAUAAAAC
rnacentral:lncRNA from 1 species